rnacentral:rRNA from 1 species
AAAAGCUCGUAGUUGGAUCUCAGCUCCGGCCGGACGGUCCGCCUACCGGUGGUUACUGUCCGUCGCCGAGCGUUCAGGCGGUUAUUCUUGAUGAUCUUCACCGGUUGUCUCGGGUGACCGCCAAGUUUACUUUGAAAAAAUUAGAGUGCUCAAAGCAGGCGUGAUGCCUGAAUAAUUGUGCAUGGAAUAAUGGAAUAGGACCUCGGUUCUAUUUUGUUGGUUUUCGGAACACGAGGUAAUGAUUAAGAGGGACAGACGGGGGCAUUCGUAUUGCGACGCUAGAGGUGAAAUUCUUGGACCGUCGCAAGACGAACUACUGCGAAAGCAUUUGCCAAGAAUGUUUCCAUUAAUCAAGAACGAAAGUUAGAGGUUCGAAGGCGAUCAGAUACCGCCCUAGUUCUAACCAUAAACGAUGCCAGCCAGCGAUCCGGCUGUGUUCCUCAAAUGACACGCCGGGCAGCUUCCGGGAAACCAAAGCUUUUGGGUUCCGGGGGAAGUAUGGUUGCAAAGCUGAAACUUAAAGGAAUUGACGGAAGGGCACUACCAGGAUUGGAUCCUGCGGCUUAAUUUGACUCAACACGGGGAAACUCACCCAGCCCGGACACAGGAAGGAUUGACAGAUUAAGAGCUCUUUCUUGAUUCUGUGGGUGGUGGUGCAUGGCCGUUCUUAGUUGGUGGGGCGACUUGUCUGGUUAAUUCCGAUAACGAACGAGACUCUAGCCUACUAAAUAGACGUUCCCAUCCUCUUUUGUGGGACGUUCUUCUUAGAGGGACAAGCGGCGUUUAGCCGCACGAGACAGAGCAAUAACAGGUCUGAGAUGCCCUUAGAUGUCCGGGGCCGCACGCGCGAUACAUUGAAGGAAUCAGCGUGUGCUUUCCCUGUCCGAAAGGACUGGGUAACCCGUUGAACCUCUUUCGUGCUGGGGAUUGGCGAAUGUAAUUAACGCCAUGAACGAGGAAUUCCCAGUAAGCACGAGUCAUCAGCUCGUGUUGAUUACGUCCCUGCCCUUUGUCCACACCGCCCGUCGCUACUACCGAUUGAGUGAUUUAGUGAGGUCUUCGGACUGGCGCUCGGAUUGGCCUUCGUGGUCGAGCCGGUGUGCCGGAAAGAUGACCAAACUUGAUCACUUAGAGGAAGUAAAAGUCGUAACAAGGUUUU